AGUCGUAACAAGGUUUCCGUAGGUGAACCUGCGGAAGGAUCAUUAUUGAAUUCAAAUCAUCUGUGGCUUCGGUCCAGAUGUGCCAACAGGUAACACUGUUGGUAAUUCUAUCCAUAACACCUGUGAACUGUUGGAUGCUUGCAUCCACUUUUAUACUAAACAUUAUUGUAACAAAUGUAGUCUUAUUAUAACUAAUAAAACUUUUAACAACGGAUCUCUUGGCUCUCGCAUCGAUGAAGAACGCAGCGAAAUGCGAUAAGUAAUGUGAAUUGCAGAAUUCAGUGAAUCAUCGAAUCUUUGAACGCACCUUGCGCUCCUUGGUAUUCCGAGGAGCAUGCCUGUUUGAGUGUCAUGAAACUCUCAAACCCAAGUUUUGGAUUUCGAUCCAUGCUUGAGUUUGGAUUUGGAUGUUUGCCGGUGAUAAGCCGACUCAUCUUAAAAGUAUUAGCUAGAUCUGUCUCUAUGACUGGUUUGACUUGGCAUAAUAAGUAUUUUGCUGAGGACAUCUUCGGAUGGCCAGGACCUAGACUAUUGUCUGCUAACUAAACCAUCACUUUAAGUGCAUCUUCGGAUGUUACUCAUUGUGUAACUUUGACAUCUGGCCUCAAAUCAGGUAGGACUACCCGCUGAACCUAAGCAUAUC
rnacentral:misc_RNA from 1 species